UGGGGAAUCUUCCGCAAUGGGCGCAAGCCUGACGGAGCAACGCCGCGUGGGGGACGAAGGCCUUCGGGUUGUAAACUCCUGUCAGCGGGAAAGAGGGGCCUUCCAGUGAAUAGCUGGGGGGUCUGACGGUACUCGCAGAGGAAGCCACGGCCAACUCCGUGCCAGCAGCCGCGGUAAUACGGAGGUGGCGAGCGUUGUUCGGAAUCACUGGGCGUAAAAGGGCGCGUAGGCGGGGCCGGAAGUCGGGUGUGAAAGCCCCGGGCUCAACCCGGGAACGGCGCUCGAGACUCUGGCUCUUGAGUCCCGGAGAGGCGGGUGGAAUUCCUGGUGUAGCGGUGAAAUGUGUAGAGAUCAGGAGAACACCGGUGGCGCAGGCGGCCCGCUGGACGGAGACUGACGCUGAGGCGCGAAAGCGUGGGAGACAAACGGGAUUAGAUACCCCGGUAGUCCACGCGGUAAACGAGUGGGGCUAGGUGUGGGGGGUAUCGGACCCCUCCGUGCCGAAGCUAACGCAUUAACG
rnacentral:rRNA from 1 species